rnacentral:tRNA from 1 species
GCGGCCAUGGCGGAACAGGCAGACGCGUACGUUUGAGGGGCGUAUGGGGGACCGUGUGAGUUCAAGUCUCACUGGCCGCACCA